AACCCGAAAGUUCUUGAAAAAGCACCUUUGUGGCUAUUGGUAUAAUUGAAUCCAGAAUUAAGACAGCAAGUUGUGCCUGUUAAGCACCUGACCUUGACUGAUUUUACCUUUUUCUUUUUGCAGUGGUCAUUGAGUGAAUUGCUGUGGCCAUUAAGUGAGUCAGUUACCCACAAUGGACAUUUUGUCAGAAACUGGAUGUAAAUGCCAGUUUCUGGUGAAGCCCCACUCUCCGGUUUCACAGCUGACCUGAGAUCCAACACCGGCGGCCAGGCUUUCCCGCAGUGCGUCUUCGACCACUGGCAGAUCUUACCCGGAGAUCCUUACGAUGCCAAUUCACGCCCUUUCCAAGUGGUGGCCGAAACCCGUAAACGCAAAGGCUUGAAGGAAGGCAUCCCACCCCUAGACAACUUCCUGGACAAAUUGUAACGGCUUCCUCCCUCAACGCGGGCAAGGAGCGUCUUACGACAACACCCAACAAACUCCACCGUGGAAUCGGGAUUGCUUCACCAAAAUGCGAAAGGAAGAGACGAGAAAACCGGACAACCCGAAAUGAAGACACAAAAAAAACCAGCCUCUAGCAAUUAUGUCAUGUUCACAUAACGAGAAAUAAAGUGUGUUGUUGAAUAGAA